rnacentral:lncRNA from 1 species
AUGUCUACAGGUGCCUGGAUUUCUUCUCUCCUACUGUUGCUGCCCCCAUAUGAGGGUUCUCUAGACAAACAGACCAGCGGAAGGAUGGAUGGACGCAUACAUCCACCACCUGCAAACCGAGAACCAGGAAAGCUGUCCGUAUACUUCAGGCUGAGACUGAAGGUCUGAGAGGGAGGAGCUGUAGGUCCUGGACUCCAAAAUCCGAAGAACCAGGAGCGCUGAUGUCUGAAGGCGGGAGAGAAGCUGAAAGGGAAUUCUGGGGCCUUGGUGACUGCCUGGUUGAGAUCUACAAAUCUGAUGGGACUGAGGGCCUGAACCAAGGUUUUACUGUGUCUGCACAUCUCCCGAGCUGUCUACUUCGGCGUCGAUGACACUGCAAAGGGAACGCUUCCGGAUCCCAAGAACACUCCAUCUUCAUCAGCUGGAUGACCGCACAGUCUGUCAAAGAGGUUGCUGGGCUGACUUCCUCCCCCUUGACACUGUCACCGAAUGACAACGCAGUCGGGGCAUAAAUGAACCGACAUGUACAUAGGCCAGCUUGACCGCCGCAGGAAGGCUGCCUGUGAAGAAGGAGCCGCAGCUUUUUCAAGGGGGCGUGUCCAACAUCCUCAGACGCAUGCGUGGUGCUUCUGUGCUUGUCUUGUACGAUGACAUCGAGUUCUCAUUCAGUUAUUUCCUUGUUUAUUCGCCUGUCAAUAAGCAUGCUGUACUGUAUAACAUAUCUUGAGCAUUCUUGAUAGACUGUUGGCAGUCUAUUAAACAAUGGCAGCUAUUUACUGGUUGAAAAUAGAAAGCAAUAAUAUUCAUCUGACCAGUUUUCCCUCUUUUUAAAUUUUUUAAACGUUUACUUAUUUUUGAAGGAGAGAGAGAGUGUGAGCAGGGGAGGGGCAGAGAGAGGGAGACACAGAAUCGGAAGCAGGCUGCAGGCUCUGGGCUGUCAGCACAGAGCCCAACACGGGGCUCGAACUCAUGAAGUGUGAGAUCAUGACCUGAGCAUAAGUUGGGUGCUUAACCAGCUGAGCCACCCAGGCGCCCUGACCAGUUUUCUCUUAAAACCAUUUCCACAAUGACGGGACUCCAUUAUAUUUUUGAUUUCAG